UUGGUCUCACAGCAGCCAAGCUCACAUCAGCAGUAUCAGGAUACAUUAACUGAGGGAGCGGUGAGGUGAUUGAACCCUUUUGCAGAAGACCAUGCUGACUAGCAUCCGCAGCAAUCACAUUUUCUUGCUUCAUUGGACCAUAAGCAUGUAAACUAUUGGAAGGCCUUCCAACAGCAAAAGGAAGUUCCAUAGUUUUCAUGGAGACAGUUUUUUGUGCAUCUUGCAAUGGUAAUAUCUGCCCAUUUUUAAAGGUGCCAUAC
rnacentral:misc_RNA from 1 species